AUUGAAACACUGGUUUCAGUAUGAUCACCAAAGUUAAGCAACAUUGAGCCUGGUCAUUACCUAGAUGGGUGACUGCUUGGGAAUAGAAGGUGCUGUAAG